rnacentral:rRNA from 1 species
AUUGAACGCUGGCGGCAUGCCUUACACAUGCAAGUCGAACGGCAGCACGGGUGCUUGCACCUGGUGCCGAGUGGCGAACGGGUGCGUAUUACAUCUGCACAUGUCCCUUCGUGGGGGAUAGCCCGGAGAAAGCCGGACUAACACUGCAUACGAACACCGGAUAAAAGUGGGAGCCCUUCGGGCUUCGCGCUUUCGGGUUGGCCGGUGGCGGAUUAGCUAGUUGGUGGGGUAAAGGCCUACCAAGGCGACGAUCAGUAGCUGGUCUGAGAGGACGACCAGCCACACUGGGACUGAGACACGGCCCAGACUCCUACGGGAGGCAGCAGUGGGGAAUUUUGGACAAUGGGCGAAAGCCUGAUCCAGCAAUGCCGCGUGUGUGAAGAAGGCCUUCGGGUUGUAAAGCACUUUUGUCGGGAAAGAAAAGCUUGGCCCUAAUACGGUCGGGUGAUGACGGUACCGAAAGAAUAAGCACCGGCUAACUACGUG